CCCCUAUGUCCGAGUUUGUCCUGAUUUUCCAAACCCCCCUCCCCCCCCUCGGCUCGGACAUCCUUUGUGAAUGGCCCCAUAGCAAAUUGCCCGAUUUUUAAAAAAUCAUAGAAUCUACCCGAUCAACACUGAUAGGCUCCCUGUCCCGUACGCCUAUGGUUAGUGCCUAUAGGUUAUGUAGAUAGUCAAUAUAGAUAAUGUAUAGAAAACAAAAUAAACUUUUAGGCUAUGUUAUAUAUGCCUGGUCGUGAGCCGGGUAACAUUGUAGAUAGUGUUAUAUCAUCUAGUAGUGAUGUUUGGAAAUAUUAUGUAAUAGAACAUGUAAAUAAAAUAGUCUUGUUUUUAUGAAAGUAUGCAUGGGUCUGAGAUCGGAUCUUCGAGCCACGUACAACCACUGAUUCGAAAACUAUAGGACUGGCCAUGCACAGCUCACAGCGC